AACAUCGCGCACCUGCGGGAACCUGCGGAAGGAUCAUUAUAGGAAAAAUAUCACCAUACAAGAUGUGUGUGGGUUUGGUGGGUGGAAGAAGACUGUGUGGGGUUUCAUACUCUGCACUUUUUCCCCUCGCUUUUCCUGCAUAUAUCUUCAAACAAAUUAUCGCAACUAUAGUAGGAUAUGAGAGGAAGAAGAAGAAAUGGCUUGGUAAAAAAGUGGGGUUGUUUGGUUGGUUGGUUUUGG
rnacentral:misc_RNA from 1 species